GAAAGUAAAAAAGGGCGCAUGGCGGAUGCCUUGGCUCUCGGAGGCGAUGAAGGACGUGAUAAGCUGCGAUAAGCUUUGGGGAGGUGCAAAUGACCUUUGAUCCAGAGAUUUCCGAAUGGGACAACCCAAUAUCUUGAAGAGGUAUUAUCCAACGUUGUUGGAGGCUAACGCAGGGAACUGAAACAUCUUAGUACCUGCAGGAAAAGAAAAUAAACAAUGAUUCCCCCAGUAGUGGCGAGCGAACGGGGAACAGCCCAAACCAUCCAUGUUACGGCAUGGGUGGGGUUGUAGGACUACGCCGUUGCAUGAAGACAUCAGAGAAGAACUUUCUGGAAAGAAAGACCAUAGAGCAUGACAGUUGCGUAUUCGAAUGUUGUCGAAGCAUAGUAGUAUCCUGAGUAGCGCGGAGCACGAGGAAUUCUGCGUGAAUCUGCCGGGACCAUCCGGUAAGGCUAAAUACUCCCGAGAGACCGAUAGCGAACCAGUACCGUGAGGGAAAGGUGAAAAGCACUUCGAACAGAAGAGUGAAAUAGUUCCUGAAACCGUGCGCCUACAAGCGGUCGGAGCUCGUUAAUGAGUGACGGCGUGCCUUUUGCAUAAUGAACCUACGAGUUGCCUUUGCCGGCAAGGUUAAGUGUGACGACACACGUAUCCGAAGCGAAAGCGAGUCUGAACAGGGCGUAUAGUCGGCAGUGGCAGACGCGAAACCAAGUGAUCUACCCUUGGCCAGGUUGAAGGCUGGGUAACACCAGCUGGAGGACCGCACCAAUAAGCGUUGAAAAGCUUCUGGAUGAGCUGAGGGUAGGGGUGAAAGGCUAAUCAAACUUGGAGAUAGCUCGUACUCCCCGAAAUGCAUUUAGGUGCAGCCUUGCGGGUUACUGAUGUGAGGUAGAGCGACUGAUAAGAUGCGAGGGCUUCACCGCCUAUCAAGUCUUGACAAACUCCGAAUGCGCAUCAGUUCUACCGCAGGAGUGAGGGCAUGGGUGCUAAGGUCCGUGCCCGAGAGGAGAAGAAUCCGGACCACCUGCUAAGGUCCCGAAAUGACAGCUAAGUUAAACUAACGAAGUCUGACUGCUAAGACAGCUAGGAUGUUGGCUUGGAAGCAGCCAUUCAUUUAAAGAGUGCGUAACAGCUCACUAGUCGAGGAGUCGGGCGUGGAUAAUAAUCGGGUAUCAAGUUGUCUACCGAAGCAGUGGGAUCAUUAAUAUGAUCGGUAGGGGAGCAUUCCAGUCGGCGUCGAAGGCGUACCGUGAGGUAUUCUGGAGCGUCUGGAAAAGCAAAUGUAGGUAUAAGUAACGAUAAAGGGGGCGGGAAACCCCCUCGCCGAAAGACUAAGGUUUCCUGAUCAACGCUAAUCGGAUCAGGGUCAGUCGGGUCCUAAGGCUCAGCCGAACGGCGAUGCCGAUGGCAGAAACGGUUAAUAUUCCGUUACUACCUUCAGGAGUGACGUGGAGACGCAGUAGUGACAGUGCCGCCAUCUGACGGAAUAGAUGGUUGAAGGGUGUAGGAGUCGAUCAUGGCAGGCAAAUCCACCAUGAGAUCCGAACCUGACAGUAUGCCGCGUCCUUCGGGACAAGGCAAUAGUGCGCGUAAGCAUGCUGCCGAGAAAAUCCGCUAAACUUAAUCCUGCAGGUACCCGUACCGCAAACGGACACACGUAGUCGGGAUGAAUAUUCUAAGGCGCUUGAGUGAUUCACGGUUAAGGAACUAGGCAAACUGACCCUGUAACUUCGGGAUAAAGGGUCCCUACCCUUUUAUGGGAGGGCGCAGAGAAUCGGUCCAGGCAACUGUUUAACAAAAACACAGGGCUGUGCCAAAUCGAAAGAUCCAGUAUACAGCCUGACACCUGCCCGGUGCUGGAAGGUUAAGAGGAGAUGUCAUCGAUAAGAGAAGCGUUGAAUUGAAGCCCCAGUAAACGGCGGCCGUAACUAUAACGGUCCUAAGGUAGCGAAAUUCCUUGUCGGGUAAGUUCCGACCUGCACGAAUGGUGUAAUGAUCUGGACGCUGUCUCAACCGUGAGCUCAGUGAAAUUGUAGUAUCGGUGAAGAUGCCGAUUACCCGCGAUGGGACGAAAAGACCCCGUGAACCUUUACUAUAGCUUAUCAUUGAAUCUGGGCACGUGAUGUGUAGGAUAGGUCGGAGGCUUUGAAGCAGGUACGCCAGUAUUUGUGGAGCCGCUGUUGAAAUACGACCCUUUAUUUGUUUGGAUUCUAACCCGUGGAACGGGGACAUUGAUUGGUGGGUAGUUUGACUGGGGUGGUCGCCUCCAAAAGCGUAACGGAGGCUUCUAAAGGUGCCCUCCGGCCGAUUGGUAACCGGCCUUAGAGUGUAAUGGCAUAAGGGCGCUUGACUGGGAGACUAACAAGUCGAUCAGGUAGGAAACUAGAGCAUAGUGAUCCGGUGUUUCCGUAUGGAAGGGACAUCGCUCAAAGGAUAAAAGGUACUCCGGGGAUAACAGGCUGAUCCCUCCCAAGAGCUCAUAUCGACGGAGUGGUUUGGCACCUCGAUGUCGGCUCGUCACAUCCUGGGGCUGGAGAAGGUCCCAAGGGUUGGGCUGUUCGCCCAUUAAAGUGGCACGCGAGCUGGGUUCAGAACGUCGUGAGACAGUUCGGUCUCUAUCUAUCGUGGGCGCAUGAAAUUUGCGUGGCUCUGACACUAGUACGAGAGGACCGUGUUGGACAGACCUCUGGUUUGCCGGUUGUGCCGCCAGGUGCAUUGCCGGGUAUCUAAGUCUGGAUCGGAUAAGUGCUGAAAGCAUCUAAGUACGAAGCCGGCCACAAGAUUAGAUUUCUCAGGGUCGUUGUAGACUACGACGUUGAUAGGAUGCAGGUGUAAAGGUAGAGAUACCAAAGCCGAGCAUUACUAAUUGCCCGUUCACUUUCCUUA
rnacentral:rRNA from 2 species